UUUGGUAAUUACGCAGCAAAAAAUUUUGAUGAGAUAAGCUAUCGUUACCGGCUUUAGGAAAUAUUGAAUUGCUUGAAAAACUAAAUAAAUUUAUAUAUAUAAAUUUGAACAAUAAUUUAUGUAUGAAUUCUGCACUUAUUAUCGGUGACAAAUAUGGGUUGAAUUUAGGAGCUGUAAAAGCGUUGAUCUCAAUGCUACAUCUACCAAAAUAUAUAAUUGCUACACUUCGGAACACUUCCAAAGCUAAGAUUACUUUAAAUUUGGCGAAAAGAUGAAGAUGGAUGUGCUUUUCAACAAUGGUGGCAUAAAGAAGGCGUUUAAAUCUAAACCGGUAGGAAAACGAGUUUAUGAUGAACUGGUGUUCUCAAUAUGAGCUUUAAAGUUUGUUCCAUUGCAGGCAACAUGAUCGUUAAUGUAUUACAUACAAAGCGGCU